rnacentral:rRNA from 1 species
AGUCGAACGCCUAGUUUACUAGGAGUGGCGCACGGGUGCGUAACGCGUGGGAAUAUACCCUUGGGUGCGGAACAACAGUUGGAAACGACUGCUAAUACCGCAUAAUGACUCCGGUCCAAAGAUUUAUCGCCAAAGGAUUAGCCCGCGUUAGAUUAGCUUGUUGGUGAGGUAAGAGCUCACCAAGGCUACGAUCUAUAGCUGGUCUGAGAGGAUGAUCAGCCACACUGGGACUGAGACACGGCCCAGACUCC